GUUGCGAUGGCUGAGUGGUUAAGGCGUUGGACUAGAAAUCCAAUGGGAUCUUCCCGCGCAGGUUCGAAUCCUGCCCGCAACG
rnacentral:tRNA from 2 species